UACGUAGGGUGCAAGCGUUAAUCGGAAUUACUGGGCGUAAAGCGUGCGCAGGCGGCUUUGCAAGACAGAUGUGAAAUCCCUGGGCUUAACCUGGGAACUGCAUUUGUGACUGCAUGGCUAGAGUGCGGCAGAGGGGGAUGGAAUUCCGCGUGUAGCAGUGAAAUGCGUAGAUAUGCGGAGGAACACCGGUGGCGAAGGCGGGUCUCUGGACAGUUCCUGACGCUCAGGCACGAAAGCCAGGGGAGCAAACGGG
rnacentral:rRNA from 1 species